AUGGAGGGGGCCGAGCAGCGAGACCCCCUGGAGCAAAGGGUUGAUGGAUCUGCUUUUGCUGUUCAGAAGGAAAUAGAAGUGGUGAAGAUUUUCAGCUGGAAGCCUGGGAAAGUGUUUCUAGAUCUGAUGAGAAGGGUAGGAGAGAAGGCGACAGACACUUUCAGUGAUGCUGAAUCCUUUGAAGAUUUGGAGAUAGACAGUGAAGAGUAUUGGGAAUCGGAUGGUGAAGAUAGCAGUGUGCCCACCACCAGUACAACUUCUCCUGAGAUGAAAGUUACACCCCAGCAUGAGAAAGAGGACUGGGAUGCAGAGGUGGCAGAUACUGAAAACCGAAACAAUCCUUAUGAUUUUGAUGAUAUUAUUCACUGUGGAGAUUGCUCGGCUAAGGAUCAAGCAGCACCGUAUUCAGUUCAAGGACAUCUUUUGUAUGACCCCAGCUUACACCAUGUAGCACCACUGACUUUGAAACACAUAGAGGCUGUGUUGGUGGAUGGCCAGUUUGAUGAUGCUGUUGACUGAGAAGUAUUCAGGACUGGAAUAUCAACAACAAGACUGGUUGUCUGCAGGAUCCCUCUUUAUUAACACUUGUGUUUAUGUUUGUUCUCAACACUGGAGCCGAAAUAUUACUUCUAAAUUGGAUUUCUUCAUGAAAACGAUCUAAGAUGCAACAGAUACCAUUUCCUACUCUGUAGGCUUUGUAUUUGAGAAGAUUGAAUGACAUAUAACAUUAUAAACUGGACUGCUGGAAGUUUAGGCAAGGAGAUAGAUGACAAUUUCUAAUUUAAGUUGUCUUAGAAAUGGUUUGGGUUUAUUUUAAAGUUAUGAAUGUGAUUAUUGCAAUUCAGAAGCUGAUCAUUAUGUUCGCCUGUAAAUCAUGCAAUGUUAUUUUUUAUUUUUAAAAAAUUGUGUUGUUGUAUAUUUUUCUGUUACAAAUUCUGCAUCAUCAUUUGUGCAGUUCAGUUUCUUGAAUGUAUUUAUUUAUUUGAAGCUGGGGCCCUCAACCAUGCUGGAGACAUAGAUCUUGGUGGGGUGACUCCUGAAUAAAACAGGCUGUGUAAUGGUUUAGGCAUUGUGCGUGUGUGUGUUUCAUUUAUUGUGUACUCUGGGAGCCUUCCUAGAUUUAUUUAUUUUUACCCCACCUCUUUACCAUUAAAGGGACUCAAGGUGGAUAACAAUAAAUAUGACACACUGAAAAUUAAAACAAUGUAUAUGCAUUAAAAUAUAGAUAUACAUAUUUGUGUAUGAUUAAACAUUACACAUUAAAAUAUUUAAAUGCAUUAAAACUCCAUACCCAUCCCAAAAUCCCAAUCACACAUUUUCAAAAGCCCAUUUCUCAUGAGUUGAUAAUGCCUAUUUGCAGAGAAACAGUCUCAUGUGUGUACAAACAGAGACAUGUGACUACAUUAUGAGUGCAUCUGUUUGAUACAGUAGAUACCUAACCCUUGAUUGAGUAUGUUCACUUUCAACUGACUGAUUUAUAUCAUUAACUGUCUGGAUUUACAGACUCCAAAUCCAUGAUUUCCACUGACUAUAGGUUGUUAAAUGCUAUACAUGAAAUGGUGACGAUCAGGGCCGGUUCAAGGCUAUACGCAACUACGCGGCCGCCGGUGGCACUGUUGUCCCAAGGCGCCAGAGGCGCCUGUGCGUGAGCAUGCGCACGCGCGCACCCUGCCUCCUCCUUCCAGCCAAGGUUUCAAUCGGAAACCCCACACCAACAUUCACGCACAGCACCAUCGCCCAAAAGCGCCCUCCCUCUUCUCCCUCCCUCCUUCCUCUUUUACCUGGUCUCCCUUUCUGCCUUGAAGCCAGGCUUUGAGGCUGCGGAGGGGCGGGGGCGGGGCCUAAGGGCACGGAGGGCACGCACCUCCCAGGAGACCACGCCCCCUGCUUCCGAAGGAGUGCCUUGGAAGUGCCCUUCGGCCCCGCCCCCUCUGCAGCCUGCGCGUGGCCUGAUCAAGAUGGCGGUUCCCAUGGGCUGUCUGGCCAUGUUCCAAAAGCAUUCUCUCCUGACGUUUUGCCUGCAUCUAUGGCAGGCACCCUCAGUGGUUGCAAGGUCUGUUGGAAACAAAGCAAGUGGGGUUUAUAUAUCUGUGGAAUGUUCAGGGUGGGGAAAAGAACUCUUGUCUGAGGCAUGUGUGAAUGUUGCAAAUGGCCACCGUUAUUAGCAUUAAAUAUCCUUGCAGCUUCAAAGCCUGGCUGCUUUUUGCCUGGGGUAAUCCUUUGUUGGGAGGUGUUAGCUUGCCCUGAUUGAGGAUCCCCUGGUGCCCUCCCUCUUCUUCCCUCCCUCCCUCUCUCCUUCUUCUCCCUCCUCUGCCUUUCUGGCCUUCUUUCUUCCUCUUUCCCCUUCCUUCCUUCCUUCCUUCCUUCUUUCUUCCCUCCCUUCCUCCCUCCUUUCUUCCUCAUCUCCUUUCUACGUUUUUCCAGUCUCUCUGCUGAGUUUAUAGCUAUAUUCCAGAAGCAUUCUCUUCUGAUGUUUCGCCUGCCUCUAUGGCAGGCACCCUCAGUGGUUGCGAGGUCUGUUGGAAACAAAGCAAGUGGGGUUUAUAUAUCUGUGGGGAAAAGGGUGGGGAAAAGAACUGUUGUCUGAGGCACGUGUGAAUGUUGCAAAUGGCCACCGUUAUUAGCAUUAAAUAUCCUUGCAGCUUCAAAGCCUGGCUGCUUUUUGCCUGGGGUAAUCCUUUGUUGGGAGGUGUUAGCUUGCCCUGAUUGAGGAUCCCCCUCUUCUUCCUCCCUCCCUCCCUCUCUCCCUCCUUCUCUCAGUUGUUGUGAGGUCUCUUGGAAAUUAGGCAAAUGGGGUUUAUGUAUCUGUGGAAGGUUCAGGGUGGGGAAAAGAACUCUUGUCUG
ensembl:lncRNA